UACGGGGGGUGCGAGCGUUGUCCGGAAUCACUGGGCGUAAAGGGCGCGUAGGUGGUUUGAUAAGGGUGUGGUGAAAGUCCGGGGCUCAACCCCGGAUCUGCCGUGCCGACUGUCAAACUCGAGGGCUGUAGAGGCAGACGGAAUUCCGGGUGUAGCGGUGAAAUGCGUAGAUAUCCGGAGGAACACCGGUGGCGAAGGCGGCUUCCUGGACCGACACUGACGCUGAGGCGCGAAAGCUAGGGGAGCAAACGGG
rnacentral:rRNA from 1 species